rnacentral:rRNA from 1 species
ACUCAAAUGAAUUGACGGGGGCCCGCACAAGCAGUGGAGCAUGUGGUUUAAUUCGAUGCAACGCGAAAAACCUUACCAACCCUUGACAUCGGAGUCGCGGGGGCCAGAAAUGGUCUCCUUCAGCUAGGCUGGACUCCUGACAGGUGUUGCAUGGCUGUCGUCAGCUCGUGUCGUGAGAUGUUGGGUUAAGUCCCGCAACGAGCGCAACCCUCGUCCUUAAUUACCAUCGGGUCAUGCCGGGCACUUUAAGGAUACUGCCGGUGAUAAGCCGGAGGAAGGUGGGGACGACGUCAAGUCAUCAUGGCCCUUACGGGUUGGGCUACACACGUGCUACAAUGGCAGUGACAAUGAGACGCGAAGCCGCAAGGUAGUGCAAAUCUCAAAAAAACUGUCUCAGUUCGGAUUGGAGUCUGCAACUCGACUCCAUGAAGUUGGAAUUGCUAGUAAUCGUGGAUCAGCAUGCCACGGUGAAUACGUUCCCGGGCCUUGUACACACCGCCCGU